AGUGUUGUUUUAAUUUUAAAAUUUGAGUAUAGUUGACACACAAUGUGACAUUAGUUUCAGGUGUAUGACGCAGUGAUUCAAAAUCUCUAUACCUUAUGCUGUGCUCACCCUGCCUCCAACACUAUUAUAUCAACUACAUUCCCUGUGGUGUGCCUUCUGUCCCCAUGACUCAUUCAUUCCUCAACUGGGAGCCUGUACCUCCCACUCCCCUUCACCCAUUUGGCCCAUCCCCCAACCCCUUCCUCACUGGCAAUCAAUGGUUCUCUGUAUUUACAGGUCUGAUUCUGCUUUUUUGUUUGUUUAUUCCUUUGUUUUGUUUUGUUUUUAUUCCACAUAUGAGUAAAGUCAUAGGGUCUUGUCUUUCUCAGCCUUACUUAUUACACUUAGCAUAAUAGAUUAGACAUUAAUAAGUCAGGCUAAGAUAAAGAAGUUGUUUUUAUUUUUUAUUUUAUUUUUUAAGAAGUUGUUUUCAUUUAUGAUUUGUUUGCCAUACUUAGAUGCUGUGAAGUAGAUGUUUCUAUUAAUCCUAUUCCAAAACAAAAUAUUAAUUUGCGCAAUUAUAAGUGGGAAUUUCAUACAAAGAGUUUUCUCAAACUCUUUGAGAUGCUUCUAAUGAAAUCAUGCAUGGUUGGAGCUCUCAUCAUGUAAUUUGCUUAGUUUUUGUUGGAACAAAUUUCAAUGUCUUACUGUUUGCAAGCUUUGUUUUCAAUCAUUGCAAUUCAAAUUAAAAGCUGCAAUACCUAAAGCUGCUGGUGCUCCAUUCAUCAAAUAUCUUAAUCAAAAAUCUCCAACUUUAUUCAUUUCCCAUGGCUAAUGUGACAAAUUACUGCACAUUUGGUGGUUUAUGACACAGAAAUUUAGUUCUAAUUGCCUAAAGUCUGAAAUCCAUCUCACUAGCCAAAGUCAGUGUCUAUGGCCACACCCCGCCUGAGACUCCUGGGGAGAAUCCCUUCUUGCCUCAGCCUCUGGUGGUUGUCAGCAAUCCUUGGACUGUGUCUGUAUCAUGCCCUUCUCUGAUCUCACACUCACUUGGCUUCCUCUUCUGCUUGUGUCAAAUUUCCCUCUUUCUCUUUUAUAAGAAUGGAGGGUCUACCUUUAGGGUUCACCCCGAUAAUCUAGGACAAACUGACCACCCAAAGAUCCUUUACUUAAUUACAUCUACAAAGUCCUUUUUUACUGUGUGAAGUAACAUUCACAGGAUCUAGAAAUUAGGACCCAGACAUCCUUGCAGCCAUUAUUCAUGAUACUAAGCCAAAUAAUGUUGAACAACAUGCAAUUGCAAUUUAGAAGGUGCAUUUAUAAAAAAUUUAGUUCUGUUGUAUGUCACUUAGGAUGAUUUAUGAAGUCAUUCUUUAAAAGCUUGAGGAAAUGUGUGCACCACCAGUUUAAAUUAUUUUCAACAUAAGCUUCAUUGAUUUUUUUUAAGUAAAUAUGUAACAUUUAUAUAUUUUGGUAAAGACAUCUUCUAUUUCAAUUGGAAGAAUACCACAGCUUGUUUGAAUUGUGUUUAGACCUCAAACAGUUCUAAACACACUUUUGCUUUACUGGUUUCUUAAUUUAGUGAAAUCAUUGUUUUUGCCACCACACUGUCUUCCACCAAAAUAAGUAUCUGUAUCACAAGAUCAAUGUUGAACUUUUUAAAAGAUUUUAUUUAUUUAAUUGAGAGACAGAGAAAGCUGGGGGGUGGGGAGCAGAGGGAGAGGGAAGGAAUUUCAAGCAGACGCCAUGCUGAGCAUGGAGCCCCACGUGGGGCUUGUUCCCAAGACCCUGAAAUCAUGACCUGAGCUAAAGCCAAGAGUCAGAUGCUCAACCAACUGAACACCCAGGUGCCCCUCAAUGUUGAACUUUUUAAUAGCAUUUACAAUAAUAUUCAUGAUACUGUUUCACCUCUAACACACCAACAAAAAUAGUUUUCAAUCAUUAUUGGAGAUAAUGGACUUCCUGUUUGGAACAAUUAGUGAAUGAUAUAAAGAAGGCACCAUGUAACUCUUUGAUUAAUGAACCCAACUUUGUGGCUUCACUUUUUUUUAAGACUUUAUUUUUCUUUGAAUAGUGUUAGGUUCACAGCAACAUGAGAGGAAAGUAUGGAGAUUUUCCAUUUACCCCCCACUCCCACCCAUGCACAGCCUCCCCCAUAUCGCUGUCUCAUACCAGAUGGUACAUCUGUGCCAAUGAUGACCCUACAAGGACACACUAUUAUAACCGAGAGUCCAUAAUUUACAUUAG
rnacentral:lncRNA from 1 species